rnacentral:rRNA from 1 species
AUCAAUAGCCAUACCACCCUGAAUACACCAAUCCUGUCUGAUCUCGGAAGCUAGGGAGGGUCGGGCAUGGUUAGUCCUUGGAUGAGAGACAAAUCCAGACAAUUAAAC